UGUAGGAGCGGGCUUGCUCGCGAUUGCAGCGCCUCGGUACAUCCGAUGCUCCGAGUUGUCUGAGUCGCGAGCAAGCCCGCUCCCACA
rnacentral:misc_RNA from 1 species